rnacentral:ncRNA from 2 species
AUCCGUAGGUGAACCUGCGGAAGGAUCAUUA